rnacentral:rRNA from 1 species
AUGAACGCUGGCGGCGUGCUUAACACCUGCAAGUCGAACGAAGCACUUUAUUUGAUUUCCUUCGGGACUGAUUAUUUUGUGACUGAGUGGCGGACGGGUGAGUAACUCGUGGGUAACCUGCCUUGUACAGGGGGAUAACAGUUGGAAACGGCUGCUAAUACCGCAUAAGCGCACAGCAUCGCAUGAUGCAGUGUGAAAAACUCCGGUGGUAUAAGAGGGACCCGCGUUGGAUUAGCUAGUUGGUGAGGUAACGGCCCACCAAGGCGACGAUCCAUAGCCGAGCAGUGAGGGAGACCGGAGACACUGGGAGUGAGCCACGGUCCAGAAUCCUACGGGAGGCAGGAGUGGGGAAUACAGCACAACGGGCGAAAGCAUGAUGCAGCGAGGCUGGGUGAGCGAAGAAGUAUUGAGGUAAGUAAAGCGCUAUCAGCAGGGAAGAUAAUGACGGUACCUGAGUAAGAAGCACCGGCUAAAUACGUG